AAAUGCCUGGGAUGUGCGUCAGUCUACAGGAUGUCUAACCGACUCUUUUACCUAGGGAACCCAAUUAUCGCUUGGCGGCUGCAGGCUCCCCCUGCGGGAGAAGCAAAAGUCCGGCUGCGGGUACCCACCUGCCCCGUGCAGGUUUAGGCAUAUGAGACUGACGGCAUUUUGGACCUAAC
rnacentral:other from 1 species